rnacentral:lncRNA from 1 species
AAGGCUGUUGAUCCAGGGCUAGUUUAUGAUGCUACUUACGAUGAUUAUCUGCUCUUUCUCUGCAGCAGCAGCGGCGGUAAUCUACUCGACCCGUCGUUCAACUGCCCCACAAAUGUACCUUCGCCGAGCAACUUGAACUACCCGUCGUUAGCUAUUGCCGAUCUGCAAGGCUCCUUCACCGUAGAGAGAACCGUCACAAACGUAGGCGUCGGAAACUCGUCAUAUUCGGUUACAAUUGAUCCGCCGCCGGGUUAUCUUGUCCGAAUCUCGCCGGCGACGCUGGAUUUCAGCAUGGCAGGGGAAAAACAGAGUUUCAGCAUCACAGUUGAAGUUGUGAGUAGUGCAAAUGUGUAUGCUUUUGGUUGGUAUAGAUGGAGCGACGGAAUUCACCAAGUGACGAGCCCUAUUUCAGUGUGGACGGUGUUGUGACUGGAAUUGCAAUGAAGUUGUAAGUCAUAUCCUCCUUCUCUGGUUGCUAUAUUUUUGCUUGAUAAUAAAUGAGAACAUAUUGUGUAUGCUUCUUAAUCAAAGGAAUGGAUUAUCAAUGACAACAAAUGAAAAAUAUACCACUAUAAAAUAAAACUAUAGAAAACUAUUUAUUUGAACUUGAAAUGAUAAAGUUAUCCUUACUUAAAUCGCGAACUUUGCUCGACAAUUGGACAUGUCGUCGAGCAUGAGUGGUAAAUGCACUAAUGUUUUGCAUGUUCGAUCAUUGCGAGUCGAGUAUGUCAAGCAUUAGUGUAUUUGUGAUGAAUACAUUAAUGCUCGUCAUGUUCGAUCAUUUCACUAAUAUGGUAAAUGCACUAAGUUCGACAUGUUCGAUCAUUGCUCUAAUGUGGUAAAUACAUUAAUGCUCGACAUACUCGACUUCCGCGAAUCGAGCAUUAGUGAUAAAUACAUCAAUGCUCGAUAUGUCUCGACCAUUGCGAAUCGAGCAUUCCUAUAAAAUGUACUAAUGUUCGACAUACUCGACCAUUGUGAGUCAAGCAUCAGUGGUCAAGCAUAGUGCAAAAUACAUUAAGGAUAAAAGAGUCUUAAAUGGGUAUAAUUUAUAUACUCCCUCUGUCCCGCUCCAAAUGUCCCAUUACUUUUGGGCACGUAGAUUAAGAAAUGGGUAUAAAGUAGAUAAAAUGAGUAUAAAGUAGAUAAAGUGGGUUGGUGGAAAUUGUUUAAAUAUUAAGUAUAGAGAUAGAGUGUAUGGCCAAAAAAGGUAUGAGACAUUUGGAGUGGGACACCCCAUUAUGGAAAGUGGGACAUUUGGAGUGGGACGGAGGGAGUAUUUUGUAAAAGGUGUGUAUUUUUUAAAUUUUGUCUUUUAAAAAACGUAUAUAUCAUUUUGCCCCUUUAUUCUAGCUAGUAACUUGUACUCCAGUAAUAUAUGACAUAAAUUGCAUAAAAUAAUUUUUAAUUAUUAAUUGAACAGGGCUACAUUUUCACAGAUCUGUUGGGCUUCCAACAGCCCUCUGCCACUGAAUCAGGCCGGCCCAUUACCAUUUUUUAUAUUUGAGUUUAAGAUUUUCAAAUAAAUUAAAAUUAAAUUAAUUUUUUAUAAUAAGUCUGUUAUCCAAUAAUUUAGUUGGCCUUUUCAAUCCUAACUCAAAUCCUAUACCAGUAAUAUAAUACAAGUUCUUCCUCAAUUAUACAUGUAUCUGCGACUAAAGUGAGAACUAUAUCUCUCUUUCUCGGCCUUUUGGCUAAGAUCAAGUGUAGUAAAAUGAGAAUUAUUUCUAUCAUAAUGUCUAAUAGUUAUUUUAAAUUUUGUUUCAAUGUAGCGGAGUAUGAAUUGAAGUCUACCUUUUCUCUUUUUUUCUUUUUCUUUCUAUUUUUCUAUCUUUUUUAGUUCGAUUAGAUUGAAGUCUUAAUCAAUUAUAGCGUUUUCGCAUUAAACUUUUUGCGGUGUCCAAAACAUUUACUGGCCCUUUAAAUAUCUUUUAUUGUAGUCGUUUUCUUUGAAUAAAAGAAAACGCAUUUUCAAUCAUAAUUACUACUACUUAACUUGUUCAAUCAUUAUACUUUUUUUUGUUUUGUUUCACUUGCAUAUUAUCAAUGGUCUUCUACACAAUUUGUCUCAUAAAGACUAUCAUUUUCCACCGAUUUUUUUUUUUAUUUGAUCUAUUAAUAAACAAUCUAAAUGUUUUAAAUUAAAGUUGAAUCACCUUACUCCUUAAUGCUUAGAUUAAGAAAAUGAAAGAACAUAUAAAAUAGAAAUGAACAAAAAAUAAACCAAUUGGUAGGAAAAAUUACUCAUUAUUUAACAAAUAAAGAACGAAGAAACAUGUACCAAAUUAAUUAUAUUUGCUAUUUUUUAAAUACACAAAUCCUCUUAUGUGAACGGUUGCACGGUGUGAACCUACUCACAUACUCUGAUAUACUAAUUAUAAAUAUCUUGUUAGAAUAUUUAAUAAAACACUUAUAAAUAUUCUAUUAAAAUAUGUGAGUGAGUGCACAUAUUUGCACAAAAACCUCUUCUUUUUUUAAGUAUNUAUUCAGGGUUAAUUGUCUAUAAAUACACAAAUUAUAUCCAAAUUUUGAUUUUUAACCAAAUCUCUUCUUUUGGUCAAAAAAUACAUAAACUUUUUGUUUUUUGGAAUUUGACUUGAAUCGAAAGUUCGCCAGUUAAAAAUUUGAUUGUCUAAAUUCUGACUGGCAAUCUGAAUGUACCAUUAGAAAGCUUUUAAUAUUAUCUUUCUAAUAAUACUUAAAUUGUUGGGUUUCGAUCACCGAAAGUUGUAAAAAAAAAUAGCACGAAAGUUAAUGUCACGAAAUUCUAUAUUUUUUCUUUUUCCAACCACUUCCAAUGUUCAAAACUCAACAAUAUAAGUAUCAUUAGAAAGAUAACGUCAAGAACUUUUCAACGAUACAUUCGGAUUGCUCAUCGAAAUUCAGACAAUCAAGUUAUUGGCCAACAAACUUUGGAGUCCGAUCAAAUUUGAAAAUUUUAAAAAUUUAUGUAUCUUUCGACGAAAAAAAUAAAUCUGAUUAAAAACCAAAAUUUGGGUAUAAUUUGUGUAUUUAUAGACAAUUAAUUUUUUUUUAUUAAAAUUCAUGUAGUACCCUUGUAAAACUAACCCAUGUAAUCCCCUUCUAGGACUAUUUUUUUACCAAAAAGUAUAUGAUAAGAUCUAGUUGGAGCUUGCAAAGACAUUCUAACAAACUUCCUUUUUUGCAGCAAAGCUAACAAACAACUUAGGCAAGCCAAUAACAGAUGCAUUGGGAAAUCCUGCAACACCAUUCGAAUAUGGGGCAGGACAUAUCCAACCAUCAAAGGCUGUUGAUCCAGGGCUAGUUUAUGAUGCUACUUACGAUGAUUAUCUGCUCUUUCUCUGCAGCAGCAGCGGCGGUAAUCUACUCGACCCGUCGUUCAACUGCCCCACAAAUGUACCUUCGCCGAGCAACUUGAACUACCCGUCGUUAGCUAUUGCCGAUCUGCAAGGCUCCUUCACCGUAGAGAGAACCGUCACAAACGUAGGCGUCGGAAACUCGUCAUAUUCGG